rnacentral:RNase_P_RNA from 2 species
GUGGGCUGGGUAGACAGCUGUCCCUUUAAGGGGAGGAAACUCCAUCCACCGUUAAAAUGCCGUUUGAAAGAACCAAGCUGAAAAGUUUGAGAUUUGAUUGGGCACAAAAUGUUCAAAAGAAUCAUGGCAUGGUGUAAGAUCAGACAGCUCUUAUGACGAAAGAGGAGCAGGUAGGUCGCAUAGACGAAUGCUGUCAAACAGAGAUGAACGUGUCUUACGAAAUCUGUUCACAGAAGAUGGGUUAUGCCCAGCACAC